CUACCACCUAUCAAAGUACUCCUUGCUACUUUACUGGUUACAGAGGAUCUGCCAUAUGUCCAUUCGUAUCCAGUGAUUUAUGAAAGACCUCCAGUCUGAUGGUGAUUGAAAAUGGGAGUAAUGAAUAGUGGACUGCCUGAGGCUGUAGAGAUCAUCUCGGAGCCUCUAUGUGGCCAUCUCUUCGAAGGUUCGACGGCCAACCUCCUCAUCCUGGAGAGUC
rnacentral:lncRNA from 1 species